CUCUUAAACGGAUAAGGAGCUGGCAUCAGGCACAGAACCCUUGCCCAUAACGCCUAGUUUCACCACGCCUCCAAAGGUAGUCAGCAGUGAUCAACAUUGUCUAUGGGCGCAAGCCCGAAUCAGUUAAAGAAAAGAGAGUCGGCAAACCCGGUGCCAGCCGCCGCGGCCAUACCGUGGACUCAAGUUAAUAACUACCGGCGUAAAGCGUGAUUAAAGAGCCCUUAAAUUAGAGUUGAAUGGAGGCUUAGCUGUUUAAAGCUUACUUAUUAAGAAACCCAAAAACGAAAGUUACUCUAAUUAAUUUCUUGAAUACACGAAAGUUUGGGAACAAACUGGGAUUAGUAGAUACCCCACUAUG
rnacentral:rRNA from 1 species